rnacentral:tRNA from 2 species
GCAUCCGUAGCUCAGCUGGAUAGAGUACUCGCUACGAACCGAGCGGUCGGAGGUUCGAAUCCUCCCGGAUGCACCA